rnacentral:rRNA from 1 species
UACGAAGGGGGCUAGCGUUGUUCGGAAUUACUGGGCGUAAAGCGCGCGCAGGCGGUUCUUCAAGUCAGAGGUGAAAGCCCAGAGCUCAACUCUGGAAUGGCCUUUGAGACUAGAGAACUAGGGUACGGGAGAGGUGAGUGGAAUUCCGAGUGUAGAGGUGAAAUUCGUAGAUAUUCGCAAGAACACCAGUGGCGAAGGCGGCUCACUGGCCCGGUACUGACGCUGAGACGCGAAAGCGUGGGGAGCGAACAGG